AAAAAAGACAGUACAGGGCAAACCAUUUAAAAAAGAAGAAGAUGCGCAAUCAAAAACUAGACCAAUCCAAUCACUGUACUGGUUUACAUCUUAAAUACUUAUACCAGUGUAGUCUGCGGGCUAAGAGUUUUACACAAAAGCGAACAGAAGCGGUUGAUCAAAUCCGUAGAACUGUGUCGUUGCCGCUCUACUAAUUCAAUUCAAGUCUGUUGUGAACCUGUAAGCAAAUCCUACCUUUUGAAAUAAGACCAACUGACUGCCUCACUCUAGUCAGUAGAGGCAUAAAAAAUUUAAUUUUCUGGUCUUCGCUCAGUCAUUUUGUCGAACAGUUUGUACUCUAUUGAUUUAGAAGUUCUUCAAUCAAUCACUAGAAAUGCGAUCAACAAUCAGAAUCAUAAGUUCAAACAUGAAGAAGUUCUCACUUUUACCUCAUGCCCAUCUCAUUUCACCACAUAUAGAGCAAAACCCUUCUGCAAUUUCAAUCAUUGAAACCAUCAAUAUUAUAAAGCCCUCGAGUUCUAAUCUUUCAGUUGCUUUCUCUUCCUCAAAUCUUGAGACUCCAAUUGCGCCAAAAAUUCCCAAUAGCCACGAGGGAUGUUCUAGUGAGAGUGAUCACAGUGAUGUUAGUGAUGAUGAUGAUAACAUUAGACAGUUGAAUUUAAAAGAUGAGGGUCUUGUUCAAGACGUGACCAUCAUUAUGAGUAUAUUGCAUCAAUUGAGUGGCAAUCCUGUGGAAAUGAAGAACAAGAUUGAACAUUGUGGAGUUAAGGUUUCAAGAGAGCUGGUUCUAGAAGUACUAUCUAGAAUAAGAAAUGAUUGGGAGGCAGCAUUUACUUUCUUUUUAUGGGCUGGCAGGCAGCUAGGCUAUUCACAUUCUGUACGUGAAUACCAUGCUAUGAUUUCUAUUCUUGGUAAAAUGAGAAAGUUUGAUACAGCAUGGGCAUUGAUCGAUGAGAUGAGAGGCGUCAAGACUGGUAUAUCUCUCGUUACACCACAGACUUUGCUUAUUAUGAUCAGGAAAUAUUGUGCAGUGCAUGAUGUGGGUAGAGCUAUAAAUACUUUUUAUGCUCAUAAGCGGUUUAAAUUUGACCUAGGAAUUGAUGAGUUUCAGAGUCUUUUAUCUGCUCUUUGCCGCUACAAGAAUGUUCAAGAUGCUGAGCAUUUGAUGUUUUGUAAUAAAGAUGUUUUCCCAUUUAAUACAAAGAGUUUCAAUAUUGUGCUUAAUGGGUGGUGUAAUGUGAUUGGUAGUCCUCGUGAGGCAGACAGAAUAUGGAGGGAAAUGUGCAAGAGGCGUAUCCAUUAUGAUGUUGUGUCAUAUGCAAGUAUUAUAUCUUGCUACUCAAAGGCAGGUAAUCUUUAUAAGGUGUUCAAGCUGUACAAUCAAAUGAAGGAGGUGGGGAUUGAACCAGAUAGGAAGAUUUACAAUUCUGUUAUUUUUGCACUUGCAAAAGGUAGACACGUGAGCGAAGCUAUCAAUCUCAUGAAAACAAUGGAAGAGAAGGGUAUUGCUCCUAAUACUGUGACUUACAAUUCGCUGAUCAAACCAUUAUGUAGGGCACGGAAGAUAGAUGAAGCUCGAGGGUUGUUUGAUGAGAUGUUGCAGCAUGGUCACUCUCCAACUAUACGUACUUAUCAUGCAUUCUUUCGUAGUCUAAGGACAGGGGAAGAAGUGUUUGCACUCUUGGAGAACAUGAGAAAGUUGGGAUGCCAUCCAACUAUUGAUACCUACAUCAUGUUGAUUAGGAAAUUUUGUAGAUGGCGUCAGUUUGAUGAUGUCUUUAAGUUAUGGAAUCAGAUUAGUGAGAAUGGGCUAGGUCCUGAUCGUAGCUCAUAUAUUGUUCUGAUACAUGGACUCUUCUUAAAUGGAAAGUUGGAGGAAGCAUACAAAUUCUAUGCAGAUAUGAAGGAAAAGCAGUUAUUGCCAGAUCCUAAGCUAGAUGAGAUGCUUCAGACUUGGUUAUCCAAUAAGCAAGUAGCUGAGUGUCAGAUGACAGAAUCAAAAGUUGACCAAUUGGACUGCAGUAGAUUAGGAAACCAAAGGAGAGCAACCUCUAAGAGAAUUAAUCAUGAGAAAGAUUUUCUCCAACAAGCUGAAAUUAGAAGAGUUGUAAGAGAGCGAGGGUUUUCCUUUUGGAAGCAAUAGGUUCCUGAGUAAUAGUAUGUCUCAAGAGCAGGUGGUUUGCAUAUCCAACAACCUUCAACAUCAAAUGCUCCAUGAACUCAUACAGGUAAAUGAAAUAAGGCAAAAUUGAAAAGAAAAAUGGCAGCCACUGUUGUAAUUAAUAGUGCAAAGUUGUAUUAAGAAUUCUUGGAGGUGCCAAAGCGCUUGAUCCCUCUUUGCUUAUAGCAUCCAUUGCUAUAAUGAUACAUGGCUGCCAAGACUUGAGGUGACAUUUAUUGAUGGAAAAGUCAUGGGAUGAUACAUGGCUUGCUUCAUCCUUCGCACAUGCUUGAAGGUCUGGCCAUGGGUGGUUCCCCCUCAGCUGGAACCGGACGGAACCACGAACUGGAACCGUGAGCUGGUGGUUCCUGAACUGGCCAUGGCCAGGUCUACUUGAACGAAUGUACACUGAUCAUUCACUUUUUAUUGAUUGUGAGAAGUGGCAUUGUGACAGCAAUGGCUUGUAUCAAUAAUCUAAUUUUUUGGAUGGCAGUUGUUUUUCAUUUUGACUAAUCCUAAAGGCCGUAAAUUACCACUUAACAAUGACUUGAAAGAUAUAACUUUGUUGGAAAUCGAAACAUUGCUUCUUGGAUCUACACUUGCAGUUUCCAAACAAGCAAGGUAAUCUUUUUUGGUGACAGGAAGUUAUGGCUAACUUGUGGAAGAACUCAGAUAUCUUUUAUGGUUGCUUCUAUUAAUAUCUCCAUUGCAGUUGAAGUAGUUGACCAAUUUACGUUUCCUUCUUAACUGAUCUUGGAGUUCAUCUUUUUUAAGUUAAGG